rnacentral:rRNA from 1 species
CCUACGGGAGGCUGCAGUGGGGAAUAUUGGACAAUGGGGGGAACCCUGAUCCAGCCAUGCCGCGUGUGUGAAGAAGGCCCUCGGGUUGUAAAGCACUUUCAGUGAGGAAGAACGCCUGGUGGUUAAUACCCAUCAGGAAAGACAUCACUCACAGAAGAAGCACCGGCUAACUCCGUGCCAGCAGCCGCGGUAAUACGGAGGGUGCGAGCGUUAAUCGGAAUUACUGGGCGUAAAGCGCGCGUAGGUGGCUUGAUAAGCCGGUUGUGAAAGCCCCGGGCUCAACCUGGGAACGGCAUCCGGAACUGUCAAGCUAGUGUGCAGGAGAGGAAGGUAGAAUUCCCGGUGUAGCGGUGAAAUGCGUAGAGAUCGGGAGGAAUACCAGUGGCGAAGGCGGCCUUCUGGACUGACACUGACACUGAGGUGCGAAAGCGUGGGUAGCAAACAGGAUUAGAUACCCUAGUAGUC